AGUGAACGCUGGCGGUAGGCCUAACACAUGCAAGUCGAACGGCAGCACAGUAAGAGCUUGCUCUUACGGGUGGCGAGUGGCGGACGGGUGAGGAAUACAUCGGAAUCUACUUUUUCGUGGGGGAUAACGUAGGGAAACUUACGCUAAUACCGCAUACGACCUACGGGUGAAAGCAGGGGAUCUUCGGACCUUGCGCGAUUGAAUGAGCCGAUGUCGGAUUAGCUAGUUGGCGGGGUAAAGGCCCACCAAGGCGACGAUCCGUAGCUGGUCGGAGAGGAUGAACGGCCACACUGGAACUGAGACACGGCCCAGACUCCUACGGGAGGCAGCAGGGGGGAAUUUUGCACAAUGGGCGAAAGCCUGACCGAGCAAUGCCGCGGGAGGGAAGAAGGGUUUCGGUUUGUAAAACUCUUUUAUUAGGAAAGAAAAAAAGUGUAAGAAACCCUGCAUGUCGUGACGGUACCUAAUCAGAAAGCCCCGGCUAACUUCGUG
rnacentral:rRNA from 1 species